rnacentral:rRNA from 1 species
UAACGGAGGUGCGGAGCGUUGUCCGGAAUCAUUUGGGCGUAAAGGGCGCGAUAGGUGGCUUCUUAAGCGUGCGGUGAAAGCCUGGGGCUCAACCCCGGGUCGGCCGUGCGAAACUGGGGCUGGAGCACUGUAGAGGCAGGCGGAAUUCCGGGUGAUAGCGGUGGAAUGACGCAGAUAUCAAGGAGGAACACCAAUGGCGAAGGCAGCUCGCUGGACGGUACUGACGCUGAGAACG